AGCGCGUUACCGACCAGCCGGACUCAAUCACUGACCACUUCGCCACUCAUCUCUUUCAACAGCCCUUAAACUGACCGGGACGUAAAUGAACACCUUUUCCUUUCCGCUUCUCCUUUUUUUUAAGGAAUACAAGACGAUAAUCAGAUAAAAAGACUAAAUUAUGUUUAUCUUGGAUUAAGUCUGCCUGGGUAAUUAAAAAUAGGAGGCCUUCAAUACCAGAAUGCACCAUGGGAACAGAUAAUGGAGUCUGGUAGACCCCUGGCUUCAUCACCUGAACCGUUCUUCCUUCAUAUGGCCUCAUCUAAAGCCAGCUCAUCCCCUGCUCCACCCCAGAAACUCCACACCAAGUCCAGAGCGACCCGUAGUCCUAUAGUCAGCUCUCCCAUCACCAUUUCUGGUAUGUAUAGACAGUAGAAAACUUUACAUUAGACUUAGUUAGAUGUGCUCAAAGUAAUAUAACAAGGUUACAGUUAGUAAGACUUUCAACAUUCAUCCAAGUGGUUUAGGAAAAGUAUUGCAUUAGCUGUGUGUAAAAAAACAGAAAAACAAAAACAAAAAAAACCCCCAACUAAUUAAUAAAUAAAUAAAUACUGACAGUUUUAUACAUAGUCCCAUUUAUAGAGGCUUAAAUUAAACAAUUGCCUUACAGAACAGUUUCAUGGCCAGAUGAGGCCUGUUCCCUUACAGUUCUACAUGUGGAGUCGAUUUUGCAUUUGGUAGACGUUCACUGAAACUCUCUUUAUCAUAUCCAAAAAGAUGUGACUGCACGUCAAGGAUGCCAUCAUUAAGCAGGAAGAUCAAA
ensembl:lncRNA